rnacentral:rRNA from 1 species
GAUGAACGCUGGCGGCGUGCCUAAUACAUGCAAGUCGAGCGAACGGACGAGAAGCUUGCUUCUCUGAUGUUAGCGGCGGACGGGUGAGUAACACGUGGAUAACCUACCUAUAAGACUGGGAUAACUUCGGGAAAUCGGAGCUAAUACCGGAUAAUAUUUUGAACCGCAUGGUUCAAAAGUGAAAGACGGUCUUGCUGUCACUUAUAGAUGGAUCCGCGCUGCAUUAGCUAGUUGGUAAGGUAACGGCUUACCAAGGCAACGAUGCAUAGCCGACCUGAGAGGGUGAUCGGCCACACUGGAACUGAGACACGGUCCAGACUCCUACGGGAGGCAGCAGUAGGGAAUCUUCCGCAAUGGGCGAAGGCCUGACGGAGCAACGCCGCGUGAGUGAUGGAGGUCUUCGGAUCGUAAAACUCUGUUAUUAGGGAAGAACAUAUGUGUAAGUAACUGUGCACAUCUUGACGGUACCUAAUCAGAAAGCCACGGCUAACUACGUG